UAAAGCUGCGAUGUUUCUGGCCGUGGGUGCUAGCAUUGGUUCACUCAGUGUCAUGGGUGCUAGCGUUGGAUCACUCAGUGUCAUGGCAUCCAUGGUUCUGAACAG
rnacentral:miRNA from 1 species